rnacentral:rRNA from 1 species
CGCCUGCCGGCGACCGGCGCACGGGUGAGUAACACGUAUGCGACCUGCCCCCCGCAGGGGGAUAACCGGGAGAAAUCCCGACUAAUACCGCGUAACGCCGCGGACCUGCAUGGGUCUGCGGCCAAAGGAAGCGAUUCCGGCGGGGGAUGGGCAUGCGGCGCACUAGCUAGUCGGCGGGGUAACGGCCCACCGAGGCGACGAUGCGUAGGGGUUCUGAGAGGAAGGUCCCCCACACUGGUACUGAGACACGGACCAGACUCCUACGGGAGGCAGCAG